CUGGUGGAGCUGGAGGAUGUGUGUGAUCAUUGGAGUACAACUGUGUGUCUGUGUGUAUUAUGCAAUGUUCAGGAGCUGAUGUCUUCCCUCCAGUGUGCCCAGCAGCUGCUGCACGUACAGACUCGGGCUGCCAGUGUAGCCCGAGCACAGCUCCAUUCUCUGGCAGAGGAGUACCAGGCCCUUAAAAGAGAACAUGAAAUGAUCCAAGAGGAGAGCAAAGGGAAAGAAGCAAGAUUUGGUAAUCUGAUGGAGGAAUUCAAGAAAGGCCAAAUGAAAUGGGAAAAAGAGGGUAGUCAGAUGGAGCAGCCUGCAGAUGGAAUCUCAGUAACCGAUCUUGGCACUGAUACCUUAGAGAUGUGGGGCAAAACUGUAUCUUUAGAGGAGGAGACGAGUCUGGUCAGUCCAGUGGAGGACCGUAAAGAUACAGAACCAGCGUUCGAUAAUUGUAGCUUCCCAGCUGAAGAACAAGAUCUGCUGAUGGAUGAGUGUCUAUCUGCACAGUUCACCAAUGCAUGCAGGCCACUUAGAAUCAGAGAGUUGUGUUCCUCCAUGGAACCAUCAGGACGUUCGAUUCCUGAUGCCAUGCCCCAGUCUGACUAUAAUCUCAUCCCACAUCUACGUCCUGCUCCAAUGACAAGUGGUCUGUCGUGCUCCAUUGCCGAACAGAGCAGUGAUCUAGUUCUCAGCUCAUUUAGUGUGGAGAGCCUGUCCAGAGCUCCCCAGAACUACAGAGUUGACAGCAUUGAGGGGAUAUCAUGGUCAGGGACCAGCUCUGUUCACCGAUUAGGCCAUGACCCUGCCAUGGACCAAACCACGUGUGUCCUUGAAGCAGAACAACAUCAGACGUCCAUAAAACCCCCAGACGUUCCAAAAGACAGGUCUAGAGAGCAUCAGGCACAUGGAAUAAUUCAUACACAGCAGGGAAGUUACAUUGUUACACACAAUGGUAGUGAAGGUAUGCAAAUUGACAAGAACGGUUUUGAGGAUGUUCCAGCUCCCACACAGAAUUCAGAGUGUUUGGAUAGGCUCCAGCAAGCUUUACACCCAGAUUGGCAGCGCGAUACCAACCUCCCACAUCCCAGAAACAUCUACACCGGUAUGACAUCUGGAGAACUGGUGGGUUCAGAAAAGGUGCAGGUGAGAACAGUGUGCACUAAUGCGAUGGAAGAGAUGGCUUCAGUGGAUUCAGUUGCUUCAUGUGAAGUCUUAUCAAAUAACUACAGCCACGAUGUAAGCGUCAACAGCCAAACUGAUCAACAGAUCAAUUCUCCUGAACCCCUCAAUUCCUCAACCGCUACGCUAGAGUAUGAUUCAUCUGAUGAUCAGGGUACGGUUCUCAAGCCAAGUAUUACAGAGGAGAACAUGCUUAUAAUUCAGCAGGACCAUGCUGAGGCCUUAGAUGUUGACAGUUCUCCAGCCAAAUUUCUGUCCCAAGUUAUCGCAACGGACACAAAACAUGAAACCUGCCAUUCAAGACAAGAAGCCCGAGCAGAAGAUGACAAGAAGCCCAUCUGUGAGGGAGCCCACUUCAUCACUCCACUUCAUCACUCACUCACAAGGCACAGAUCAUGUUUUGAGCUUUGUGGCUUCACAAAAGACAAAAGAACCUCAACGUGCAGAAAGGAGAACAGAAAAUGUGCAGUGGCGGCUGGAUAUCCUGAGAUCUGUAUGUAUCAUCUGGAAAAAUGGGACAAAAGAGAUGCCCCAUUAUUACAUAAGGCAUGA
ensembl:lncRNA